CAAUGCACCAGGAAAGGACCUAAACAAAGAGUAAGGGAAAUUUUCAGCAGUUUGGGGUUUUCUUUGUUCAGGCUUAAGUACCAUCAGGCUUGGUAAACUUGAGCUCAUUCUUCCAACAAACUUGAGAGGUAAGUGCUGGGCCUUCAAAGAUAAGGCAAUCUUGCCUUGUGGAAGAAAAGAAUAUCAACAAGUACAUCACAGUAGGAUAUGUUCUAGAAUAUGGCUGUAAAAGAAGAACACCUAGAAGAACAUAAGGAAGAAGAACAUUAAAAAUCACCAGGAAGAAAACCUGGCUCUUCCUCAGCAAGAUUCUAAGAGUCUUUCAACCCCAUAAUGUUUCCUGCUCUGGAGAGUUGCUUUGACUAUUGGGAAAAGAACAUUACAAUGGCUUAAUCCACACAAAGAGGCAGGAAUGACCCUACUUGCUGAAAGGAGCAGGCAAAGCAGAAAAAGCAAGAGAUGAAGAAGGCAGAGUCUGAUGCAAGAGACGAGCCAAGAGAACCCAGAUCACAGAAGAGAAGAUUGGAAAGAAUAACAACUCAUCUUAAGACUGUACUGUCCUUGGACUUCUCAGGAAGAGUGAUUUUUUUUUUUUUUUUUUAAUUCAAAGGACACUCAGUUUUAAACAUUAAACAAAAAUCACAAAAAAAGUGUGAUGAUGGUAAGAAUUUACAUCUCCUGGCUAUCUCUCAAUGCUUUAUCUGCCAGCCAUGUGGAGUUUCUGAUUAAUAUUCAGUAGGAAAUAAAUUUAUAAUCAUGUGCCUGCCAUUCAAAUGUGCAAAGAUACAUUUUUUCUU